AUCAACUUUCGAUGGUAGGAUAGAGGCCUACCAUGGUGGUAACGGGUAACGGGGUGUUAGGGCACGACACCGGAGAGGGAGCCUGUGAAACGGCUACCACAUCCAAGGAUGGCAGCAGGCGCGCAAAUUACCCAAUCCCGACACGGGGAGGUAGUGACAAUAAAUAACAAUACAGGGCUCUUAUGGGUCUUGUAAUUGGAAUGAGUACAAUUUAAAUCCCUUAACGAGGAACAAUUGGAGGGCAAGUCUGGUGCCAGCAGCCGCGGUAAUUCCAGCUCCAAUAGCGUAUAUUAAAGUUGUUGCAGUUAAAAAGCUCGUAGUUGAAUUUCGGGGUUCUACCGUUGGUCGGGCAAUUGUCUGUACUGGCGUGUGGAAUUUCUACCUUCUGGGGAACCAUCAUGUUAUUAAUUUAGCGUGGUGGGAAACCAGGACCUUUACCUUGAAAAAAUUAGAGUGUUCAAAGCAGGCUUACGUCUGAAUACAUUAGCAUGGAAUAAUAAAAUAGGACGGUGGUCCUGUUUUGUUGGUUUCUGAAUCACCGUAAUGAUUAAUAGGGAUAGUUGGGGGCAUUAGUAUUCAAUUGUCAGAGGUGAAAUUCUUGGAUUUAUUGAAGACUAACUUCUGCGAAAGCAUUUGCCAAGGAUGUUUUCAUUAAUCAAGAACGAAAGUUAGGGGAUCGAAGACGAUCAGAUACCGUCGUAGUCUUAACCAUAAACUAUGCCGACUAGGGAUCGGACGAUGUUAAUUUUUCUUGACUCGUUCGGCGCCUUACGGGAAACCAAAGUGUUUGGGUUC
rnacentral:rRNA from 1 species